rnacentral:rRNA from 1 species
UACAGAGGUCCCAAGCGUUGUUCGGAUUCAUUGGGCGUAAAGGGUGCGUAGGCGGCGCGGUAAGUCGGAUGUGAAAUCUCGGAGCUUAACUUCGAAACUGCAUUCGAUACUGCCGUGCUUUGAGGACUGGAGAGGAGACUGGAAUUUACGGUGUAGCGGUGAAAUGCGUAGAUAUCAGGAGGAACACCGGUGGCGAAGGCGGGGUC